GACGAACGCUGGUGGCGUGCUUAACACAUGCAAGUCGAACGGUAAGGCCCUUCGGGGUACACGAGUGGCGAACGGGUGAGUAACACGUGGGUGAUCUGCCCUGCACUUUGGGAUAAGCCUGGGAAACUGGGUCUAAUACCGGAUAGGACCACGGCCUGCAUGGGUUGUGGUGGAAAGCUUUUGCGGUGUGGGAUGGGCCCGCGGCCUAUCAGCGUGUUGGUGGGGUGAUGGCCUACCAAGGCGACGACGGGUAGCCGGCCUGAGAGGGUGUCCGGCCACACUGGGACUGAGAUACGGCCCAGACUCCUACGGGAGGCAGCAGUGGGGAAUAUUGCACAAUGGGCGCAAGCCUGAUGCAGCGACGCCGCGUGGGGGAUGACGGCCUUCGGGUUGUAAACCUCUUUCACCAGGGACGAAGCGCAAGUGACGGUACCUGGAGAAGAAGCACCGGCCAACUACGUGCCAGCAGCCGCCGUAA
rnacentral:rRNA from 1 species